AGCGAACAGACGAGGAGCUUGCUCCUCUGACGUUAGCGGCGGACGGGUGAGUAACACGUGGAUAACCUACCUAUAAGACUGGGAUAACUUCGGGAAACCGGAGCUAAUACCGGAUAACAUGUUGAACCGCAUGGUUCAACAGUGAAAGACGGUCUUGCUGUCACUUAUAGAUGGAUCCGCGCCGCAUUAGCUAGUUGGUAAGGUAACGGCUUACCAAGGCAACGAUGCGUAGCCGACCUGAGAGGGUGAUCGGCCACACUGGAACUGAGACACGGUCCAGACUCCUACGGGAGGCAGCAGUAGGGAAUCUUCCGCAAUGGGCGAAAGCCUGACGGAGCAACGCCGCGUGAGUGAUGAAGGUCUUCGGAUCGUAAAACUCUGUUAUUAGGGAAGAACAUAUGUGUAAGUAACUAUGCACGUCUUGACGGUACCUAAUCAGAAAGCCACGGCUAACUAC
rnacentral:rRNA from 1 species